AUAUAAAAAGUAAAACCCUUCACAGUUCACACCAACAACGUUGUUCUUAUUCGUUUCAGAAGAAAAAUAAAUUCUCAACAUCGAAGAGCGAGGAGAAGAUGUGUAGGUCGUCUGAUUAUUAUCACGGGUACCAAUCCAACGGUCGAGAUCGUUUGCGAAUCCGAGGUUUCUUUGUUCGGUUCUCGGGUCUGGAUACUCGGAAACCAAUACCGGAGUCGCUGACUCUGCUUUACCUUUCUCGUAUAAAUGAUAACGUGCUCGAGGUGGACGGGUCGACGAUCCGACCCGACUCGCCCGCGUUCGUGACGCUCCACCGGGUCGUGAGUGCGAAGACGAGGAGUGAGAACGAGGUUAUAUUCGGGAGCAGAGAACGGGUUCGGGCCAACGAAGCGGUGCGUUUUGAAGUUUACUUGAGGGACGAGAAGGUCUUGAAGGGGAUUUUCAGAAAAGGCGAGGGUAGCGAGUGGAAAUUGGAGUGUAAGUGUGCGAUAGAGAGUGAGGUUAGAGUUACGGAGGCGGAGGUACACGUGGCGGUGGAGGGACACGUGGCGAUGAAUGAGAAGGUGGAGAUGGUAGUGAAGAAUAGUAAUAGAAGGACGAAGAAGAAGUGUGCAAGGUUAGAGGAGAUUCCGGAAGAGAGAGAAGAGCAAGAGGAGGAGAGUGAAUCGGACGGCUGUUGUCGUUGUUGUGGUGAGGAGGAGAGUGGAUCGGACGGCUGUUGUCGUUGUUGUGGUGAGGAGGAGAGUGGAUCGGACGGUGGAGAUUUGAAGGAAGAUUAUACGGUCGAGAUGGAUGUGGAAGGAGUGAGAUGGGCCGUUGAUAUGGGGAUUUGGGUGAUGUGUUUUGGGUUGGGGUUUUUGGUUUCUAAAGCCUCUGUUAAGAGCUUGAGACGCAGAAAAAUGUUUUGAUCCUUUUUAUUUUUAUUUAUUUUUAGGGGGUUUUAGUUCUUUUGAAUUCUUUGAUUUGUAAUUGCAAUUGUUGUUCUAAAUUGUAAAGAACCAUGGGUUGUUGGAGAGUCAAUCCCUUUAUUUGACUAUUUUCUAGUCCCAAUGAUUGACUUUGUAGAAAAAAAAAAUGUGAUUUUAAGUUUUAGAGAUUUUAAGAAGCGGAAGGAUAUGAAUACGGAAGUUAAGAGCUUUCCCUUGAGUAUGCUUCUAUCCUCAAUCAAGAAGAGGAGUUUUGGGCAUUAAAAUCUCAGGUAGAUUGGCAACUUUUUGGUGAUAGAAACACCGCCUCCUUCCAUAUGAAAACAAUUACAAAGAGGAGACAUAACAAAAUUAGGAAGAUCAUGAAUCAUACAGGGGAAUGAGUCAUGAUGAGGAUCAAGUGAUGGAUAUUAUCCAUAAUGGCUUCAAGGAGCUAUACCAAACCCAACACCUGGCCUGUGUCUCCACUGAAGAUAUUGACAUUAAUUGGGCUGCUGCCCUCUCUGAAGAGGAGUCCUGUAAGCUUUCAGCCAUGCCCUCAGCCUUAGAAAUUCACAAGGCCCUAUUCUCUUUAAAGCCCUAUAAAGCCCCAGGAAUGGACGGGUUGCAUGCCGGAUUCUUUCAGCAUUUUUGGCACAUCCUCGGACCAUCAGUCAUUGAAGAAGUCCUAACCACCUUCUCAACUAAACUUUUUCCUUCAUAUCUGAAUCAAACCUUGGUGGUUCUCAUUCCAAAUAGAAACGGCCCGGAAGUCUUCGGUCAUUUUAGACCAAUUAGAGGUUGUUUGUAUGGGAUGAGUUUUGAGUGAUAUCAGUCAAUUUUCUGUUUCUAUCAUCUAAAUUGUGUGGGUCCCACUGAGGAGUAGUUGUUUGGAUGAGUUUCCGGUAAUUGUUUUCAUGAUUUAGUCACUCAAAAAACCGGAUCACAGUCAUGGAAAAUGAAAACAGUCACUCACACAUCGACCCAAGUUGAGAGAUCAUCAGCAUCGAUCUUCAAUCACACGCCGAAAAGCUCCACAAUGCGCUCGUUCUACUCAUCGCUGCUAUCGUACUCGUUCUCCGAUUUGGCUGGAGCGUCAAAAUUGGCAUCCACAGCAACAACGGAUCUCCGUUGGAAACGAUUCGAUUUGGAAGCUCUGUUGUCGACGCUGGGAACAACUCCGUUGGAAGCUCGUUUUUGACCUAGAAGCUUUUUUUUUUUUUCCUUCGUGGUGUAUCAUAAAUAAGUAUGAAUGGAGUUUUGAAU